UCGAACAGAGAGGAGAAAGAAAAGGGUGAAACCCUAAUUCAUGAGCAGACCUUCAAAUUGAAAGGGGAAUUGAAGCCCAGUUGAAUGCAUGAACUAAGAAUGAUGAUCCUCUAAGCAUACCCAACAUCAAAAUUGAUUCAUGUACCGCACGAGCAUGGAAAGCAAGUGGUAAAGAAAAGAGGAAGCAAGGCAACGGAAGCAUGUACGAAACGGACACUCGAGGUAUACAAAUAAUGGAAGUUGUAGGUUUGACACUAAAAUCCAAUGAUGGUGUUCGAAUGGAUGGAUGAAUGGAUUAACAUAAGCGAAAGCAUGAGAUGUUGCGUGGAUUUAGCAUCAUUAUGAAGGAUAGAAAGAUUGAAGAUCGAGUCAAGAGCAAAGGAUUGUACGGGA